rnacentral:rRNA from 1 species
UACAGAGGUGGCAAGCGUUGUUCGGAAUUACUGGGCGUAAAGCGCGUGUAGGCGGCUCUUCAAGUCAGGCGUGAAAGCCCCGGGCUCAACUCGGGAACUGCGCUUGAUACUGUCGAGCUAGAGUGUGGAAGGGGCGAUUGGAAUUCCCGGUGUAGCGGUGGAAUGCGUAGAGAUCGGGAAGAACAUCAGUGGCGAAGGCGGCCUGCUGGGCUGUUGCUGACGCUGAGGCGCGACAGCGUGGGGAGCAAACAGG